AAGGAUACAGCUCAGUGGUAGAGCACAUGCUUAGCAUGCAUGAGGUCCUGGCUACAAUCCCCAGUGUAUUUA
rnacentral:tRNA from 1 species